UGUGAAGCAGAGCAUCAUGGUACAGGAAGCUUGUGUCUGUGUGAAGCAGAGCAUCAUAGUACAGGAAGCUUGUGUCUGUGUGAAGCAGAGCAUCAUGGUACAGGAAGCUGUGGCAGAGUGAUUAUCCCCAUGAGCUGGAUGCAUGAAGGCUCUUCAAAGGCACGCCUGAAUGAGAGCUUCCUCCAGCUAGGCUCCUCCCAAAGUUUCCCCCAUCUUCUAAAAUAGUGCCACCAGUUGGUGACUUGAGCCAGAUCCUCUGUGAGGACAGCGGUUGGUGACAAGAGCCAUCAGAGCAAGGGGCAGGCUGACAGGAGUGAGGGCACAGUGGAGUCAGCCCAAUGGGGCUCAUUAGCUCAGCGUUCUUCAUCAUGGCUGGAGGCCUUGAUCUUUACUAGAAAAUUCCACACAGUCUCAAGUGCUGAGCAAAAUCAACCAGAUUCUAUUGCUAGGAAGGCAGAGUCCUGAGGAUGGCCCCUUUGGGCGGCAAGACCCCGUGAAUGUCAUGCACAACUUGGAGAAAGUAACCCAAGUGGCACACACUGGAGCCUAAGCAAAUUGCCCAGAAAUCAACUGGCUGCAGCACAAACUAAUUGAAUCUCCACAGAAAGUACCCUUCCUGGCCACACCGUCCCUCCACAACGAAGAAAUAAGUAAAUUAAACUGAGUGUAUACAAGAUCUGGAUGUAGAACUCUCAGCUCCUUCUCCGGCAACAUGUCUAGCCGCAUGCUGCUAUGCCCCCGCCCUGAUGGCAAUGGACUAAACCUCAGAAACUAUCCACUCUGUCUAUCCCAUUCUGUGUUGGUCGUGCUGUUGAAUUGAGCUCACAAUCUAAGGUUUGGAGCAAGUGCCAGAAUCCACCUUGCUGGCUGAUUUAAGCUCCUUCCAACUUAAACUUCCUUCUGUGCAGCACUCUCUAUGGGGUUCAGAGCAGAGCAGUUUCCAGACAUUGGGAGAAUGGACUCAGGAAUAUUUUGUUUUACACACUGAUUGUUCUCAGAAGUCUCAGGGCCAAGCAGACAGCACUUGUCAGUGAAUGGCAGUGCUACUACCAUCUCUGUUAUUUCCAUGAGUUCAAAGCCAGCCAAGGGACCAUCUAAAGGGGCCGUGAAACAGAUUGACGUCGAUGAGCUACUCAGUCUCUUGAUGAUACUGUUUGCUCCAUGGGCUACAUCCACGCUUGCCUUCACCCUC
rnacentral:lncRNA from 1 species